rnacentral:lncRNA from 1 species
CGACUGAUUGACUAGCUAGGUUUUCCUCUAUUUUUCCCCACACCGGCCGCGAUACAGAAACACCGCGACCGAUCGUCCUCUUUCACCCACACCGCGACCGAUCGUCCUCUUUCCCUACACCACGACCGAUCGUCCUCUUUCCCUACACCGCGAUCGUCCUCUUUCCCCCGUCCAGUAACCGACGACCUCUUUCGCCUUCUCUGGCUCCGAUGGC